rnacentral:rRNA from 1 species
GAUGAACGCUAGCGGCAGGCCUAACACAUGCAAGUCGAGGGAGAAGCCUUUCGGGGCAGAAACCGGCGCACGGGUGCGUAACGCGUAUGCAACCUACCUUUCACAGGGGGAUAGCCCGAAGAAAUUUGGAUUAAUACCCCAUAAUAUUGUUUGAUGGCAUCAUUGGACAAUUAAAACUGCGGUGGUGAAAGAUGGGCAUGCGUCCUAUUAGCUAGUUGGAGUGGUAACGGCACCCCAAGGCUACGAUAGGUAGGGGUCCUGAGAGGGAGAUCCCCCACACUGGUACUGAGACAGGGACCAGACUCCUACGGGAGGCAGCAGUGAGGAAUAUNGGUCAAUGGUCGGAAGACUGAACCAGCCAUGCCGCGUGCAGGAAGAAUGCCUUAUGGGUUGUAAACUGCUUUUAUAUGGGAAGAAUAAGGUGUACGUGUACAUUGANGACGGUNCCA